rnacentral:rRNA from 1 species
GAUGAACGCUGGCGGCGUGCCUAAUACAUGCAAGUCGAGCGAACAGACGAGGAGCUUGCUCCUCUGACGUUAGCGGCGGACGGGUGAGUAACACGUGGAUAACCUACCUAUAAGACUGGGAUAACUUCGGGAAACCGGAGCUAAUACCGGAUAACAUGUUGAACCGCAUGGUUCAACAGUGAAAGAAGGUUUUGCUGUCACUUAUAGAUGGAUCCGCGCCGCAUUAGCUAGUUGGUAAGGUAACGGCUUACCAAGGCAACGAUGCGUAGCCGACCUGAGAGGGUGAUCGGCCACACUGGAACUGAGACACGGCCCAGACUCCUACGGGAGGCAGCAGUAGGGAAUCUUCCGCAAUGGGCGAAAGCCUGACGGAGCAACGCCGCGUGAGUGAAGAAGGUCUUCGGAUCGUAAAACUCUGUUAGUAUGGAAGAACAAAUGUGUAAGUAACUAUGCACGUCUUGACGGUACCUAAUCAGAAAGCCACGGCUAACUACGUG